GACGAACGCUGGCGGCGUGCUUAACACAUGCAAGUCGAACGGAAAGGCCCUGCUUUUGUGUGGUGCUCGAGUGGCGAACGGGUGAGUAACACGUGAGUAACCUGCCCUUGACUUUGGGAUAACUUCAGGAAACUGGGGCUAAUACCGGAUAGGAGCUCCUGCUGCAUGGGGGGGGUUGGAAAGUUUCGGCGGUUGGGGAUGGACUCGCGGCUUAUCAGCUUGUUGGUGGGGUAGUGGCUUACCAAGGCUUUGACGGGUAGCCGGCCUGAGAGGGUGACCGGCCACAUUGGGACUGAGAUACGGCCCAGACUCCUACGGGAGGCAGCAGUGGGGAAUAUUGCACAAUGGGCGGAAGCCUGAUGCAGCAACGCCGCGUGCGGGAUGACGGCCUUCGGGUUGUAAACCGCUUUCGCCUGUGACGAAGCGUGAGUGACGGUAAUGGGUAAAGAAGCACCGGCUAACUACGUG
rnacentral:rRNA from 1 species